CCCGGUUGGAUGCCCUCGGUGGGAUUCGGUAGACGUUGACUUCAGGUUUGACACAGAGGACCGACUCGUACUCGGACUGACCCUCGGUCGCCAUCUUGACUUGUACUCAGUCGGUGCACGCCGGUGGUGACGCAUUCUUAGGCCCUCUCUUUCACGGCUGUCCUCCAUGUCACAGAAGUAGAGGCGAGAGACGAAGAUUCUAAGGCGAAGGUUGGGAGUCUGGUUGAGGAACUGGCACAGUCUGAGGGAGCAGUUGGCACAGGGAGACCAGGAGCAGAACCAGGUGAUAGAGUAACUAAGCCUCUUCUCUCCAGUGCCUCCAUACCCCCACAAACCAGGGCACAAGGCUCCCAGGCUCUUCUAGUAUGCUUCUCCAUUUUCACCCACAUUACUCACCUCGACAUGGAUGCCAUUGCGAUUGCGGAGGUGUCCAAAGUCAAAGGUUAAGGUGUCUGGUCCCACUCGCCUCUUCACUACAAAGCACAGAAAAAGCCUUACCCUUUGAUGGAUGGAAAGCAGUGACGACCUCUUGAAGCUCUUCCCACACUCAGUGCAGCGGUAGGGCCUUUCCCCAGUGUGAUCCCUCAUGUGGUACUUUAACCCAGAUGAACCCUUGAAGGCUUUUCCACACUCCGAGCAGCGGGUGAAGGAAAGAGUGAGGAGUGAGCGAGGGAUAGGAGCAGGAGAGAGGUGUUGUCCAGACCAGAAGGGGCCUCUGAAAAGUGUUGCAUAGAAACAUCUUCCCUUCUUUGGAUUUCAAAGCGCCGCUCAAAUCCGUCCUUGGGUCGCCACAUGUCCACCAACAACAAGGGACAUUCCCACGGGGCAACGCUUCUCCGGCACUCUGUCUCCCACUUGAUAGCUCCAUCUGGCUGCUGGAUGGGCUUUCCGAUGACAUCACACAACAGGAAGUCCUCUGGGCUGUGUUUCUGGAGAACUAGAAGUGUACCGGGUGAUGACCUGGGCGAUGAGCUGCCUGGCUGUAGAGUGGAUGUUGGCCAGCAGGGAGCGAUAGUUGGCCCCACUGGAGAGGGCAUCCCCAUAGAUCUUGAUCAGGCCCGGGGCAGAGGAAGAGGCAGGGGGC